GGGGAUGUGGCUCAGUGGAGGAGUGCUUGCCUAGAAAUCAUGAAGCCUUGGGUUCAAUUCUCAACACCA
rfam:Ictidomys tridecemlineatus contig027725, whole genome shotgun sequence.